UCCAUAUAAUUUAUGAUCAAAAUGCAUCAUCAAUCACAAAAACAAGUUGUUAUCUUGAAGAUCAACCCAACUUUUCUAAUUUAUCAUGCAUUCUAUCCAAUUAUAUCAAACCUGCAGUAGCCUCCUGCUUACACCCUAGCCAACAUGAAUAGAAAAAGAGUCAACACAUCACACGGCUGUGGAAAUCAUCAUACAGUUAAUCAAUGUCCAAU
rnacentral:lncRNA from 1 species